UCUUGUCACACACGCCCGUGGCAGUCCAAGCCCAAUCAACAAUGCCGAGAGAGAGAGUGAGAUGUCCGUCUGAGAAUCGCAACAACUCCGGCGAAGAAGUGCCGAUCAGCGAGAAGAAGACGCUUCGAUUCAAUGGAUCUCUCUCUCUAGGGCACAAUUACGUCAAUGACAUUUAAAUAGUGCUCGGUUUCUAUGGAAACAAUUCAAUUCCUUCCUCGAUCAAGGAAAGCCGGGCCUCAAGUGGUGGCUAGAGAAGCUCGAGAUGUUGUGGCAUCAUUCUCAGGGUUAUGAAUUAGUUAGAGGAUAGGACUCUUUGUUGUCUUCUUUUACAGAGAGAUGUUUUACCUUGUGGCACUUGUCGUCUUCUUGUCGAACUUUACACCAAAAGAUGUUUGAGCUACUGCUGUGUGCUUAUUCGACAGUAAACAUUCAAGAUACAGCUCUUUUGUUGGGAAUGAAUGAUGAUGAUGCAACAAAUUGUAAGUUUCUAACCACUCAGUCUUUGGCCUAUGAUGACAUCAAUACUUUCCUGAAUCAGAAUAAUAUUCGUGGUAAAAUAGUUUUAACAGUGAGAGCAUACCCAUUGUUCUGAAGAUGUAAUUCUGCCAUCAUCUUGUUGUUUCUUUGAAAUCAAAUGUUCAUCAACUUUGUUUCUGUACAACAAUGAAAGCCCCCAAAUUAAUAUAUGCCUUGACCAAUAAAUUUGUUGUAAAGAAGUUUCCUCCACUUCGUUUUCAUUCUUAUUAGAUUGCCUCUUGGCUUGUAUUUGCUUUGUUUCACGUCUGCUUGUAAAAUU